GUUUCACCAAGCUGACCAGGAUGGUCUUGAACUUCUGACCUCAGGAUUCCAGAAGACCCAAGCCUGCACACAACCUGUUCACAGCUAUCACAUCUGCUCUGCUCAUGCUUCAUUGUCUCAUUGGACUUCACGGACCAAGCACAAGUUCAAAGACUAUCAGAUACACCAUCUUUUCUUCUGAGUAAUAGCAGGCACUCUCAGGCUGUCAGAUGAUAUGCCAGAAUUAGACUAGCAGCUGGGAAUGUGGCCACCCAUCGAAAAGCUGUAUUUCCAAACUCCAUUGUACCAAGAUGUGACUACAUGACUAAAUCUUCACAAAUGACAUAUGCCAUUUCCAGGCCAUAUCCUUACCAUGUUGCACAUGUACUCUCCAAUGCUCUUCCCCCAACUUUCGUCAUGUAGCCAGGAACAACUUACUAUGGAAUGGUAGAGAAAUAAGAAAGAUGCAGAGCAGAGCAAACCUCAUGUCUGGUCUGUUUUGUGGGAGAGAAAUGAACAUAACUAUUCUUUAAGGGAAGGUAUUGUUAAGGCUCUUUUGUCGUUAAGCCGUUGUAUUGUUUGCCUAGCUAUAUUUUAGUUAAUUCAGAUAUUGUGUCAAAUUAAAUUAAAUUUGGCCCAAAGAUGUGUCUUUACUUUGAGUUCCUGUGUAACAAACUGCAACCUAACUUAGUAUGUAAAUAAAUAAGCUGCAAA